GUGCGAAGGGAGCAUAAUCAUUAGUCUUUUAAUUGAAGGCUUGUAUGAAUGGUUGGACAAAAAGUAAGCUGUCUCAGUUAUAAUGAUUGAAUUUAACUUUUGAGUGAAAAGGCUUAAAUAAAUUGAGGGGACGAUAAGACCCUAUAAAGCUUGACAGUAAGUUGAUUAUAUUAUAAAUUGUUAGUAUAACUUGAUUUUAGUUAGCGUCUGUUACGUUGGGGCGACGAGAAUAUAAUAAGUAACUGUUCUUAAGUAUCUAAUAACAACUAUAGUUGGUAAAUAAAUGAUCCUCUAUUAGGGAUUAGAAGAUUAAGUUACUUUAGGGAUAACAGCGUAAUCUUCUUUGAGAGUCCAUAUCGACAAGAAGGUUUGCGACCUCGAUGUGAAAUUAAGG
rnacentral:rRNA from 1 species